GGACACGGGGACGGGGUUUUGGGGGCCCCGGGGGGGCCCUGCUGACGUCGUUGCCCCGCAGAGAUCGUGGACCAGCCGGGCGUGGACAUCUUCGGGCAGGUUUACAACCAGUGGAAGAACAAGGAGUGCGUGUGCCCCAACUGCAGCCGCAGCAUCGCCGCCUCGCGCUUCGCCCCCCACCUCGAGAAGUGCCUGGGCAUGGGCCGCAACAGCAGCCGCAUCGCCAACCGCAGGAUCGCGAGCAGCAACAACAUGAACAAGUCGGAGAGCGACCAGGAGGACAACGACGACAUCAACGAUAACGACUGGUCCUACGGCUCCGAGAAGAAAG